rnacentral:rRNA from 1 species
CACGAACCGUCCAAACGUUAUUCGGAAUUAUUGGGCUUAAAGGGUGCGUAGGCGGCGCUUUAAGUCGGGUGUGAAAGCCUUCGGCUCAACCGAAGAAUUGCGCCCGAUACUGGAGUGCUAGAGGGAGACAGGGGUGAGCGGAACUGAUGGUGGAGCGGUGAAAUGCGUUGAUAUCAUCAGGAACACCGGUGGCGAAAGCGGCUCACUGGGUCUCUUCUGACGCUGAGGCACGAAAGCCAGGGUAGCGAAC